CCCUUAGAUGUCCUGGGCCGCACGCGCGCUACACUGAUGCGUUCAACGAGUAUUUCCUUGGCCGAGAGGCCUGGGCAAUCUUUUAAACCUGCAUCGUGAUAGGGAUAGAUUAUUGCAAUUAUUAAUCUUGAACGAGGAAUUCCUAGUAAACGCAAAUCAUCAAUUUGCAUUGAUUACGUCCCUGCCCUUUGUACACACCGCCCGUCGCACCUACCGAUUGAAUGGUCCGGUGAAAUCUCGGGAUUGUGGCCAGUUCACUUUAUUGGGAGUUGGCUGCGAGAACUUGCUUAAACCUUAUCAUUUAGAGGAAGGUGAAGUCGUAACA
rnacentral:rRNA from 1 species